rnacentral:misc_RNA from 1 species
AAGUCGUAACAAGGUUUCCGUAGGUGAACCUGCGGAAGGAUCAUUAAAGAAUUCGGCUUCGCGGCCAAGUUCUCACCCUUUGUAUACCGAAACUAUGUUGCUUUGGCAGGCCCCUGCAUUUCUCGGGCCUGCCAGAGGUUAUAAACCCUAGAAUCUCUGCUGUCUGUAAGUCAUCAUUGACUGAAUCAAAUAGGUUUUAAAAAAACCUUUU